UACAGAGGUCCCGAGCGUUGUUCGGAAUUACUGGGCGUAAAGGGCUCGUAGGCGGCCAACUAAGUCGGACGUGAAAUCCCCAGGCUCAACCUGGGAACUGCGUCCGAUACUGGAUGGCUUGAAUCCGGGAGAGGGAUGCAGAAUUCCAGGUGUAGCGGUGAAAUGCGUAGAUAUCUGGAGGAAUACCGGUGGCGAAGGCGGCAUCCUGGACCGGCAUUGACGCUGAGGAGCGAAAGCCAGGGGAGCAAACGGG
rnacentral:rRNA from 1 species